rnacentral:ribozyme from 1 species
UGCCCAGCAACUCCUAUCCCUACCUCCACGCGGUACCGGCCGGAAACUAUGAGCAACCUUAGGGAAGAUCGGGUAACCAACCACGGUGGGAACUUUGGUCGUAGGCUGACAGGGAAGG